CUGGGAUUGCCUGGCUCACUGUCCGCUGCGUUCCUGAAAUACUCCAGCCUGAUUUAUUUUUCCAGCUGCCAUAAAAAGGAAUGUGUGGCCAGUGAGGUUGGUGAGGGAACUCCAGUCUGCACUGGAAGAGAGGUCUCCACUGGAAUGCCACCAGGCUGCGUCCUCGAGGCAGACCUGAUACCAAGCUGGAGUGGGCCCCGCUGGGAGCAGCAGAGUGACCCAACGGCCCUCUACAUGGCUGAAUUCAAGUCCCACGUGUGGGCUGGAAAGCGCACUGCGCACAUGUAGGAGCUGCCUUCGCUAGGCAGCACCCAUGAAAAGCUCUGAGGCUCUCGGUGGCCCCCACAAGCACCACCGGCCUUGAGUCUCCAGGCCCAGGUUAAGACACUAAGAAGGUCCUCCUGCCGGUGGAGUCCAGUUUGAACAGACCAGAUGACCCCUGGAAGAGGGGAGCUGCUCGGCACAACAGGAGGUGGGGCUGCAGCAGAGGCGUCCUCCUGCCAGGAUUCCCAGCUCUGCAGGAGACAGGCUGGCACCCACCACCGGGAUUGCCAGGCACAGGGCACACUGAUGCCAAGCAGAUGGGCGAGCCUGCUGUCCUCCUGGCCAGGGCAGCCCCCCAGGCCAGCCCUGGCCCCACCUGAGCCCAGAAACCCAGCCACACGGGCUUGCAUCCGCGUCCCCCGCCUCCUCACCAGCACUGGGUGUGGCUGCAUUUCCCGCCCCGGCUCCCGGGGUCGCCCCCUCCUCCGCGGUGUGCGUGUCCUCUCCGUGUGUGCUCGCCGCUGAGCUUCAUCGUCCCGGUGCAGGCCCCGAGGGGGACAUUGUCCCCUCCACCUCGUCUCGGGUCCUUCUCAGGGCAGUGCUCUCAACUGUCAGGACUUCCAGCUGGUUCAGCUCUCCUUUCAGGGCUUGUGCGGGACAGGCUGUCUGGCCCACGAGCCCCAGGAUGUCUUCUUCUUUCUCCUGCAAGUUUUAUGGUUUUAUGUUUGUGUGUGAAUCGGUGAGCCAUUCUGAGUUCAUUUUUGUAGAAAAUAUGAUACUUCGAACAAAGGUUCCGAUUUUUUGGCCUGUAGAAGCCAGAGCCUGAAUUUCCCCAACCUCCCCUCCAAUGAUACAUACUUUAUCCACUUCUAUUCAUUAUUCAAAUAUUUGCUGCUGCCCACUGGGUGCCCAGUGCCAUGGGGUCCUGGGGCCCACAGGUGAGUGUGUGAGACCCCAGCUGCCCUCCAGAGCCCACUGUCGGGCCUCAACUGGCCACAGCCUGACCCUCCCAGAUGUGGCCUCGGGACAGAGUGGGGUAUCCACGUCAGGCCCCAGAGCGGCCAAGGGGAGCGAGCCACCCGGGGGCUGUCCCUCUGGACCUCAUCCUGCUGGCCCCUUCUGCCCCGCGCCCCUGGCACCACCCUGGGGAACGCGACGGGGCAGGAACAAUCGCC
ensembl:lncRNA